rnacentral:rRNA from 1 species
UACGGAGGGGGCAAGCGUUGUUCGGAAUUACUGGGCGUAAAGGGCGCGUAGGCGGCCUUCUAAGUCGAACGUGAAAUCCCCGGGCUCAACCCGGGAACUGCGUCCGAUACUGGAAGGCUUGAAUCCGGGAGAGGGAUGCGGAAUUCCAGGUGUAGCGGUGAAAUGCGUAGAUAUCUGGAGGAACAUCGGUGGCGAAGGCGGCAAGUCCUGGACCGGUAGUUGACGCUGAGGCGCGGAAAGCGUGGGGAGCAAACAGGGAUUAAGAAACCC